AUCCGUAGGGUGCAAGCGUUAUUCGGAAUCACUGGGCGUAAAGGACGCGUAGGCGGGUUGGCAAGUCAGAUGUGAAAUCCUACAGCUUAACUGUAGAACUGCAUUUGAAACUGCUAACCUAGAGUAUGGGAGGGGGAGAUGGAAUUAGUGGUGUAGGGGUAAAAUCCGUAGAUAUCACUAGGAAUACCGAAAGCGAAGGCGAUCUCCUGGAACAUAACUGACGCUAAGGCGUGAAAGCGUGGGGAGCAAACAGGAUUAGAAACCCUAGUAGUCC
rnacentral:rRNA from 1 species